rnacentral:rRNA from 1 species
UACGAAGGGGGCUAGCGUUGUUCGGAAUUACUGGGCGUAAAGCGCGCGUAGGCGGAUUUGUAAGUCAGGGGUGAAAUGCCAGGGCUUAACCUUGGAACUGCCUUUGAUACUGCAGGUCUGGAGUACGGGAGAGGUGAGUGGAAUUCCGAGUGUAGAGGUGAAAUUCGUAGAUAUUCGGAGGAACACCAGAAGCGAAGGCGGCUCACUGGCCCGAUACUGACGCUGAGGUGCGAAAGCGUGGGGAGCAAGCAGG